rnacentral:rRNA from 1 species
CGGGGGAGCAAGCGUUGUUCGGAUUUACUGGGCGUAAAGGGCGCGUAGGCGGCCCUGCAAGUCGACUGUGAAAUCUCCGGGCUUAACCCGGAACGGUCAGCCGAUACUGCAGGGCUAGAGUGCAGAAGGGGCAACUGGAAUUCUCGGUGUAGCGGUGAAAUGCGUAGAUAUCGAGAGGAACACCUGCGGCGAAGGCGGGUUGCUGGGCUGACACUGACGCUGAGGCGCGAAAGCUAGGGGAGCGAACGGGAUUAGAUACCCCGGUAGUCCUAGCCUUAAACGAUGAAUGCUUGGUGUCUGGGGUUUUAUAGUCCCCGGGUGCCGUCGCUAACGCUUUAAGCAUUCCGCCUGGGGAGUACGGUCGCAAGACUG